UUAUUUUUCUUAUGGUUUAUGUUUAUUCAUUAUAUAUAUCAUUGUCAUCAUUCUCAUGCUUAUAUUGUCAUGAAAGUCAUCUUUGGCACGUAGUGCAUAGAUGGACUUGGUAUGAUUAUGACCAGGGAUUAUUCGGUAUAAUCAUGACUGUAAUGUUACAAAUGAUGUGGUGAAAGUCAUCUUUGGCCCGUAGUGCAUAGAUGGACUUGGUAUGAUUAUGACCAGAGAUUUUUCGAUAUAAUCAUGACCGUAAUUGAAAACAUGAAUAUCCUUGGCCCGUAGUGCAUGGAUAAUUCGUGGUCGUGAUACUAUUAAGCCGAGUCUCAGCAUUAUUGAUUUUACAGUUGUAUAAAUGGAAUUGUCAGUAGUGUAUUUUUUGGCGACCCAAGAUGGGUGAUGUAUACCUAUUUUGGGGGCGUCACAUGUAG
rnacentral:lncRNA from 1 species